UAUCUCUGUAGAGUCUGCAUAUCAAUAAGCGGAGGAAAAGAAACUAACAAGGAUUCCCCUAGUAACGGCGAGUGAAGCGGGAAGAGCUCAAAUUUGAAAUCUUAAAGGGUUUCCCUUUACGAAUUGUAGUUUAAAGAAGUGUUUUCUGUUGGAGUUUCGGUAAAAGUUCUUUGGAAUAGGACAUCAUAGAGGGUGAGAAUCCCGUAUUUGACCAUUUCUUCCAGCUGUGUGAUACACUUUCAAAGAGUCGGAUUGUUUGGGAAUGCAGUCCAAAAUGGGUGGUAAAUUUCAUCUAAAGCUAAAUAUUGGCGAGAGACCGAUAGCGAACAAGUACCGCGAGGGAAAGAUGAAAAGAACUUUGAAAAGAGAGUUAAACAGUACGUGAAAUUGUCAAAAGGGAAGCGUUUGACACCAGUGUUGUUUUCUCGAAAAUCAAUUAAAAAUGGCUUGAUUUUGUGUUGUAUUGACUUUAUCAGCUUUCUGCACUUUUUUCUUGUCUUUUUUAAUGCACUUUUCGUUUAACAAGUCAACAUCAAUUUCUUUUGUUGUAAAAGGGUCAUUGGAAGGUGGCUUUCACUUCGGUGAAAGUGUUUAUAGCCUUUGACUUCUGCAAUCGGAGAGAUUGAGGUCUGCAGCGUAGAUCCUUCGGGGUUAGAUACAUUUGUGCUAAGUUAUAGUUUUUCAUAGACAACAUGUUGACUAUGAUUAAUCAUGUAGCUUACUCGCUUAUGCUAUUUUACCUACGCUUAGGAUGUUGAACGCGCACAGAGUCUC
rnacentral:rRNA from 1 species